ACGGGAGGCAGCAGUGGGGAAUAUUGGACAAUGGGGGCAACCCUGAUCCAGCCAUGCCGCGUGAGUGAUGAAGGCCCUAGGGUUGUAAAGCUCUUUUGUACGGGAAGAUAAUGACGGUACCGUAAGAAUAAGCCCCGGCUAACUUCGUGCCAGCAGCCGCGGUAAUACGAAGGGGGCUAGCGUUGCUCGGAAUCACUGGGCGUAAAGGGUGCGUAGGCGGGUUUUUAAGUCAGAGGUGAAAUCCUGGAGCUCAACUCCAGAACUGCCUUUGAUACUGGGAAUCUUGAGUAUGGAAGAGGUGAGUGGAACUGCGAGUGUAGAGGUGAAAUUCGUAGAUAUUCGCAAGAACACCAGUGGCGAAGGCGGCUCACUGGUCCAUAACUGACGCUGAGGCACGAAAGCGUGGGGAGCAAACAGGAUUAGAUACCCUGGUA
rnacentral:rRNA from 1 species